rnacentral:rRNA from 1 species
UGGGGAAUAUUGCACAAUGGGCGCAAGCCUGAUGCAGCCAUGCCGCGUGUAUGAAGAAGGCCUUCGGGUUGUAAAGUACUUUCAGUCGGGAGGAAGGUGGUAAGGUUAAUAACCUUAUCAAUUGACGUUACCGACAGAAGAAGCACCGGCUAACUCCGUGCCAGCAGCCGCGGUAAUACGGUGGGUGCAAGCGUUAAUCGGAAUUACUGGGCGUAAAGCGCACGCAGGCGGUUGAUUGAGUCAGAUGUGAAAUCCCCGGGCUUAACCCGGGAAUUGCAUCUGAUACUGGUCAGCUAGAGGUUUGUCGAGGGGGGUAGAAUUCCAUGUGUAGCGGUGAAAUGCGUAGAGAUGUGGAGGAAUACCGGUGGCGAAGGCGGCCCCCUGGACAAAGACUGACGCUCAGGUGCGAAAGAGUGGGGAGCAAACAGG